rnacentral:rRNA from 1 species
AGAGUUGAUUCUGGCUCAGGAUGAACGCUAGCUACAGGCUUAACACAUGCAAGUCGAGGGGCAGCAUGAGAUAGCUGCUAAUCUGAUGGCGACCGGCGCACGGGUGAGUAACGCGUAUCCAACCUUCCCCCUACUCAGGCAUAGCCCGGUGAAAACCGGAUUAACUCCUGAUAGUUUCACUAGAUGGCAUCUGACGGUGAAUAAAGCUCAGCGGUAAGGGAUGGGGAUGCGUCUGAUUAGCUUGUUGGCGGGGUAACGGCCCACCAAGGCGACGAUCAGUAGGGGUUCUGAGAGGAAGGUCCCCCACAUUGGAACUGAGACACGGUCCAAACUCCUACGGGAGGCAGCAGUGGGGAAUAUUGGUCAAUGGGCGGAAGCCUGAACCAGCCAAGUAGCGUGCAGGAAGACGGCCCUAUGGGUUGUAAACUGCUUUUGUGCGGGAAUAAAGUCAGGGACGUGUCCCUGUUUGCAUGUACCGCAAGAAUAAGGACCGGCUAAUUCCGUGCCAGCAGCAGC